rnacentral:rRNA from 1 species
GCUGUUAAGGGUUCGUAGUUGAAUUGGGGGCUGAAGAGAAACUGUGGCGUCUCCACCAGGGUACUCAACCACUGGAACUCGCAGCCCGAGAACAUUCGAAACAAACAUCACGGGAUCGUUUCCUCCCAAAUCUCGCAUGCAAUGUAUGCAGGGGGACGUCCGUGUUUAUUACUGUGACAAAGAAGGGUGACCAAAGCAGUCAUUCGACACGAAUUAGAAAGCAUGGGAUAACAAAGCGCGGCCUACGGGCUUCCAUUACGGCUUUUGUUGGUUUUAAAGGUCUCUGUGGGAGAUUGUGGUGCGCAAGCCCGGCGGCACGGUGGGGUUCCAUUGCGUUCUCUCACCGUUCGUCUUCUGUUUUCCGGUUCGUCCGGUCUCAGACUUGUUUUUGCGUCCAGGAAUGAAGGAGGGUUGUUCGGGGGGAACGUACUUGAGCGUGAGAGGUGAAAUUCUUAGACCGCUCAAAGACGAACUCAGCGAAGGCAUUCUCCAAGGAUACCUUCCUCAAUCAAGAACCAAAGUGUGGAGAUCGAGAUGAUUAGAGACCAUUGUAGUCCGCCC